rnacentral:rRNA from 1 species
CCUACGGGCAGCAGUGGGGGAUAUUGCACAAUGGGGGAAACCCUGAUGCAGCGACGCCGCGUGGGUGAAGAAGCGCCCCGGCGCGUAAAGCCCUGGCAGCAGGGAAGAAAAUGACGGUACCUGAAGAAGAAGCCCCGGCUAACUACGUGCCAGCAGCCGCAGUAAUACGGAGGGGGCAGGCGUUAUCCGGAUUUACUGGGUGUAAAGGGGGCGCAGACGGCGAUGCAAGCCAGGAGUGAAAGCCCGGGGCCCAACCCCGGGACUGCUCUUGGAACUGCGUGGCUAGAGUGCAGGAGGGGCAGGCGGAAUUCCUGGUGUAGCGGUGAAAUGCGUAGAUAUCAGGAGGAACACCGGUGGCGAAGGCGGCCUGCUGGACUGCAACUGACGUUGAGGCCCGAAAGCGUGGGGAGCAAACAGGAUUAGAUACCCGAGUAGUC